GAUGAACGCUGGCGGCGUGCCUAAUACAUGCAAGUCGAGCGAACGGACGAGAAGCUUGCUUCCCUGAUGUUAGCGGCGGACGGGUGAGUAACACGUGGAUAACCUACCUAUUAGACUGGGAUAACUUCGGGAAGCCGGAGCUAAUACCGGAUAAUAUUUUGAACCGCAUGGUUCAAAAGUGAAAGACGGUCUUGCUGUCACUUAUAGAUGGAUCCGCGCUGCAUUAGCUAGUUGGUAAGGUAACGGCUUACCAAGGCAACGAUGCAUAGCCGACCUGAGAGGGUGAUCGGCCACACUGGAACUGAGACACGGUCCAGACUCCUACGGGAGGCAGCAGUAGGGAAUCUUCCGCAAUGGGCGAAAGCCUGACGGAGCAACACCGCGUGAGCGAUGAAGGUCUUCGGAUCGUAAAACUCUGUUAUUAGGGAAGAACAUAUGUGUAAGUAACUGUGCACAUCUUGACGGUACCUAAUCAGAAAGCCACGGCUAACUACGUG
rnacentral:rRNA from 1 species